rnacentral:lncRNA from 1 species
UAGGGGUUCAGGAACAGGGUUGUCAACUUGUCGAGUGCUUGUUUGUGGUUCAUCAUUAAUCUCAUUAAUUUCUUUCAAUUCUAUCUUGCUAGUUCCUUUAAGAACGAAUUCAUCUUCCAUGAAUAUAGCAGUUCUGGCGACAAAGACUUUCUGGUCAUCAGGGUGAUAGAAUUCGUAUCCAUAAGUCUGUUUAGGAUACCCCACAAAAUAGCAUUUA